AUUUGUCCGAGCGUUGAACCUCUCAUAGAAAACAGACACAACUAUUGUAUCAAGAUUUUUUAAAUACUGUUUGUAAUACUGGUAAUACAGCUGUGAAAGGAAAAUAAUAGAACCAGGCACAAUGUCUGCACAUCUGUAUACGAUCUCUGAGAAGGUUCCCUACAAUCAGGACGACAAGGAGAGUAUAGUGGACAUCUAUGUCAGUGCUGAGAGCCUGAGAGUGUUUGACAACCCGUGGGUGGAAGGAACGUCACCAACUGUACCAGCAUCUGUAGAGUCUCAGUUCCCAGCGUCUCUGAUUUGUGAAAAGUCUGGAAAGAGAAGUCACAUCAGAACUGAUUCAGUGUUUCUGGGUGUGGUUUGUCUUGUCCUUCUUGUUGGAAUCAUUAGCCUCGGCGUCAACAAGACCAUAGUGAUAAACCAGCUGGAGGCAGUUAAUGAUGAACUAAUAAAAACAGCAAAGGAAUUAGAAGCCAAUAACACUAAACUCAGCAACGAAAGAAACAAGUUGUGCGAGGUGUUGUGUGAAAAGAAUAAUAGUAAAAGGAAUUGUAAAAACUCCCCUGAAUAUUCCUGUUAAAGAAAGAAACUGAGAAUGGGCUGAUGGGACAACAAUGACCACAGAACAAUACCGCAAUGUCAAACAUCGUUUACCUCAGCAAUUGUCUGACUGCUGCUUUGUUCAACAUAUAAAAUGUUUAUUCACUAUAAAGUUCCUUCAAACAGCAUUGCUGCCUGAUUGAUUUAUAACUAGCUACUUAAUACAAAAUAUUGUAAGGCUUUAAUAAAUGUAGGCCUCGUCUCUUCAAGUAUCUCUUCAAAUUCUCAAUUUCUAAAUUACAUGUUAUCAGUAUAUUAGGCUCAGUCAUGUUCAUCUUAGACUUGACAGUCUUUCUCCUUAGGAAUAUUGAUCCAUCUUGCUCUUCUAGAGUACAUUAUGCUACACAGUAAUAAUCUCUUUUUCAUAAUCCUGCCUCUCUGACUGACUUCUCUAGAUUAUAGAUUGAUGCACAAUUCCUGGGAACUGUGCUCUUCACCUCACUCAAAGCACCUUAUUACGCUAUACAUAUAAGGUCAAUGUUGAAAACUCACCUUUAGAAAUGGAUAAUGUAAUAAAAAAUCUAAUAAAAGCUGACAAUGUAAAAUUUAGCUAAAAAAUAAUAAUAAAAUGGUGAUAAUAACUUUUUGCACAUAAUAUAAUAAGUUGUUUCAUUAUGGGUUUUGAUUUUUUGUUUUUUUGUUUUUUUGUUUUGGUUUGUUUGUUUGUUUAAUAUGUAUUAAU
rnacentral:lncRNA from 1 species